UGCAAGUCGAACGGAAAGGCCGGGUGCUUGCACCCGGUACUCGAGUGGCGAACGGGUGAGUAACACGUGGGUGAUCUGCCCUGCACUUCGGGAUAAGCCUGGGAAACUGGGUCUAAUACCGGAUAGGACCAUUGGUUGGUACUGGUGGUGGAAAGUUUUUCGGUGCAGGAUGAGCUCGCGGCCUAUCAGCUUGUUGGUGGGGUAAUGGCCUACCAAGGCGUUUACGGGUAGCCGGCCUGAGAGGGCGACCGGCCACACUGGGACUGAGACACGGCCCAGACUCCUACGGGAGGCAGCAGUGGGGAAUAUUGCACAAUGGGCGCAAGCCUGAUGCAGCGACGCCGCGUGGGGGAUGACGGCCUUCGGGUUGUAAACCUCUUUCAGUAGGGAACAAGGCCUCCUUGAUGGGGGUGGAGGGUACCUGCAGAAGAAGUACCGGCUAACUAC
rnacentral:rRNA from 1 species